AAGUCGGAUGCGCGGCAACGCGCAUGGCGGACGGGUGAGCAACGCGUGGGCGACCUGCCCAGCAGUGGGGAAUAACGCCCCGAAAGGGGCGGCAAUGCCGCAUGAGGCCGCGCGCAUGGCAGCGCGCGGCGAAAGCCGGGGACCUUCGGGCCCGGCGCUGCCGGAGGGGCCUGCGCCUGAUUAGCUUGUUGGCGAGGUGACGGCCCACCAAGGCGACGAUCAGUAGCCGGCCUGAGAGGGCGACCGGCCACACUGGGACUGAGACACGGCCCAGACUCCUACGGGAGGCAGCAGUGGGGAAUUUUGCGCAAUGGGCGCAAGCCUGACGCAGCAACGCCGCGUGGGCGACGAAGGCCUUCGGGCCGUAAAGCCCUGUCGCCGGGGAAGAAGCCGGGCCGCCGAACGGGCGGCCCCGGUUGACGGUACCCGGAGAGGAAGCCCCGGCCAACUCUGUGCCAGCAGCCGCGGUAAUACAGAGGGGGCGAGCGUUAUUCGGAAUUAUUGGGCGUAAAGGGCGCGCAGGCGGCGCGGCAAGUCAGAUGUGCAAUCCCCGGGCUCAACCUGGGAACCGCAUCUGGGACUGCCGCGCUGGAGUGCCGGAGAGGGUGGCGGAAUUCCACGUGUAGCGGUGAAAUGCGUAGAGAUGUGGAGGAACACCGGUGGCGAAGGCGGCCACCUGGACGGCAACUGACGCUGAGGCGCGAAAGUGCGGGUAGCAAACAGGAUUAGAUACCCUGGUAGUCCGCACCGUAAACGA
rnacentral:rRNA from 1 species